rnacentral:rRNA from 1 species
UACAGAGGUCUCAAGCGUUGUUCGGAUUCAUUGGGCGUAAAGGGCGUGUAGGUGGCGCGCUAAGUCGGGGGUGAAAUUUCGGAGCUUAACUCCGAAACUGCAUUCGAUACUGGCGUGCUUGAGGACUGGAGAGGAGACUGGAAUUCAUGGUGUAGCAGUGAAAUGCGUAGAGAUCAUGAGGAAGACCAGUGGCGAAGGCGGGUCUCUGGACAGUUCCUGACACUGAGACACGAAGGCCAGGGGAGCAAACGGG